rnacentral:rRNA from 1 species
AACGAACGCUGGCGGCAUGCCUAACACAUGCAAGUCGAACGAGACCUUCGGGUCUAGUGGCGCACGGGUGCGUAACGCGUGGGAACCUGCCCUUAGGUUCGGAAUAACUCCCCGAAAGGGGUGCUAAUACCGGAUAAUGUCUUCGGACCAAAGAUUUAUCGCCUUUGGAUGGGCCCGCGUUGGAUUAGCUAGUUGGUAGGGUAAAAGCCUACCAAGGCGACGAUCCAUAGCUGGUCUGAGAGGAUGAUCAGCCACACUGGGACUGAGACACGGCCCAGACUCCUACGAGAGGCAGCAGUGGGGAAUAUUGGACAAUGGGCGAAAGCAUGAUCCAGCAAUGCCGCGUGAGUGAUGAAGGCCUUAGGGUUGUAAAGCUCUUUUACCCGGGAUGAUAAUGACAGUACCGGGAGAAUAAGCACCGGCUAACUCCGUG